AACGGCAGCGCGGGAGCAAUCCUGGCGGCGAGUGGCGAACGGGUGAGUAAUAUAUCGGAACGUGCCCAGUAGUGGGGGAUAGCCCGGCGAAAGCCGGAUUAAUACCGCAUACGACCUGAGGGUGAAAGCGGGGGAUCGCAAGACCUCGCGCUACUGGAGCGGCCGAUAUCAGAUUAGCUAGUUGGUGGGGUAAAGGCCUACCAAGGCAACGAUCUGUAGUUGGUCUGAGAGGACGACCAGCCACACUGGGACUGAGACACGGCCCAGACUCCUACGGGAGGCAGCAGUGGGGAAUUUUGGACAAUGGGCGCAAGCCUGAUCCAGCAAUGCCGCGUGCAGGAAGAAGGCCUUCGGGUUGUAAACUGCUUUUGUCAGGGAAGAAAUCUUCUGGGCUAAUACCCCGGGAGGAUGACGGUACCUGAAGAAUAAGCACCGGCUAACUACGUGCCAGCAGCCGCGGUAAUACGUAGGGUGCGAGCGUUAAUCGGAAUUACUGGGCGUAAAGCGUGCGCAGGCGGCUUUGCAAGACAGAGGUGAAAUCCCCGGGCUCAACCUGGGAACUGCCUUUGUGACUGCAAGGCUAGAGUACGGCAGAGGGGGAUGGAAUUCCGCGUGUAGCAGUGAAAUGCGUAGAUAUGCGGAGGAACACCGAUGGCGAAGGCAAUCCCCUGGGCCUGUACUGACGCUCAUGCACGAAAGCGUGGGGAGCAAACAGGAUUAG
rnacentral:rRNA from 1 species